rnacentral:lncRNA from 1 species
UUUAGAGAUGAACUACUAUAAAUUUAAUAAGAAAAUGUUUAAAUGAACCCAAGAGUGGGGGUGUUUUCAAAUGAGAAAUACCCCUCACUAUCAUUUUAAAUAAAGGUUGUUAAAUUUGUGGUUUAUAGGUUUUUGUCUGAUUGCCUUAUUAAUGAAUACUCUCCACUUGGAUUUUCACAUAAUACUGAAUACCCAGUCAGUGUUUGUCAAUAUUUUCUUGAAUAUCACACAGUGAUAUUCCUUGAAUGCUUUAACUCAUUGUCUGACACUCCUAAUAGUCAUUGAAUGUGAGUCCUUAUAUAAGGGUUUUCCUAAGAGAAGUAGAAUAUAAAUGUAAUAAAACUUGGUAAUGUCUCCCAUACCAUUGCAUUCUACUUUCUUCCAAUACUACAUCUGCUUUGGAGAGUUAUAAAUGAUAAAGAUGAGACUCAGUUAUAUCUGCUUUGUUUUUCCUUGAAACUAGCAGCAACUAUAGAAAAAAAUGGAAAUGCUUCUAUUCAAUUAAAGACAAAGUAACAAAGAACUCUGGUGAUCUUGAUAAAAGAAAAAUUUAUUUUUAUCUAUGAAAUCAAAUGAUUCUAUACUAAUGAAAUAGCUUUGAGGAAAAACCAUGCAGAUUUCUUGCCCAAGGCACAAAACUGAAAGACGUGUCAAAUAAUUUUAGUCAUUAAUAUAAAUAGGAUUUUAAUGCAACAUUUUGGAGACUCCAUAUUAAUUCCAGAAUUCACACACUGAGCAAGAUAAUGAUUAUUCCUUUCCUUUUCCUUUUCCUUUUCCUUUGCCCAGGGCACUAUUAUGCCUUUGUAUGACCUUGAUUGCUAAUAUUAAGAAGAAAAUUAUUUAAGAAAAGAUUUUUGUAAGUUGAUUAAGGUGUGAGUGAGAAUUUGGGACAAACAAUAAUGUCCAGAUUUCACCAACCAAUGAGAUGUGUAGUGAACCAUAGUAACAUUGUCCACUGUGAGAGGAAGACUUAGUUCCAACUAUAGAAUAAGAUCAUAUUGCUAGAAACCUGUGUUCUUUGGUUAUUGCUAAAUGUAAUUAUAUUUCUACUAGUAACAAACUAUAUGAGGUUGUAAAAAAUUUAAUUCAUAUAUUUCAAUACUUGGUUACAUUUUCAAUUAUUUUGUGUAGACCUCAUCUGGCUCUCAAAUUCAUUCUUAUGGGCUUUUCUUUAAUUGUUUUUCUAUAAAUGUUGUUAGCUAAGUGAGCCUUUCUGAACCUCCCCUCCAUAUCCCAUAAGUUCCUAGAUCUACUUCAAACCUCAUAUCCAGGUCACUCUUCUAGCCCAGCCUUCCAUUUUUGUGCCACCCAUCACCUUUUGGCUUCAUCCAGGAUGUCAUUGCCUAUCCACAACAACAACAACAACCUCCUCUCAUACCAUAUCUAGUGAUUCUUUCCAGCUGUGUCACUGACUAUUUGUCCAAUGGCCCAGCUUGGUUGAAUCUGCCUGUUCUUCUUCUACAUAUACCCUUUCCAAACCCCAUAUAUACCUUCAAACUCAAAGUUUAGACCAGGAUUCACAAGUUUGCCAAAAGCUUAGCCCCAUGAGUCCACCUGGCUAUCUUCAAUCUAAGCCACAUCCAAUAUUCAGCCCCUAUCUGACCAGAAUACCUGUCCUCUGUCCAAGCCAACUGUGUCCAGAUCAGACACAGAACUUAAAUAAGAAGUUCACAUGCAUAAUUCUCAUCACAAAAAUAUAAACAAUGUGGAAGAUCAAAAUCAAGGCAAGUUUUCAUCACC